AUGAGUGGCGAACGGGUGAGUAACACGCGAGUAACCUGCCCUCUUCUUUGGGAUAACGCCCGGAAACGGGUGCUAAUACUGGAUAUUCACUGAUCUUCGCAUGGGGGUUGGUGGAAAGGUUUUUUCUGGUGGGGGAUGGGCUCGCGGCCUAUCAGCUUGUUGGUGGGGUGAUGGCCUACCAAGGCUUUGACGGGUAGCCGGCCUGAGAGGGUGACCGGUCACAUUGGGACUGAGAUACGGCCCAG
rnacentral:rRNA from 1 species